GCUGGCUCAGUUGGUAAAGCAUGAGACUCUUGAUCUUGGGGUCGUGAGUUCAAGCCCCAUGUUCAGCA
rnacentral:tRNA from 1 species